UCCGUGCCUGUCCACCGAACGGCCGGCAGGCGAUCCGCGUCGGUCGCGCUGGGAGGUAUGGUUCCCCAGAGGUCGGUUCUUGUGCUGCCUACCCCUUCAGGGGAAGCGGGCCACUUGAUGUAAGCCUCCAUCCGGCGCCCUCCAACGGGCGCAGGAGGACAACGGAGCACCCCCCGCGUUCCACCGAGCCUCCUUCGGUCGCGUGGCGCACGGGGACGUGCGAUGCUCUCGGACCCAGCGAACGCCGUGGGCGAGGACUCACGUCCCAGUCCCGAUAGAAGCUUCGAUAUAAUGCUGACGGCCGCUCCCGCCCCCCGACCGCCCCGGCGGCGCGGGGGCGAGGCGCGGCGUCGCGGAGGAAUGCUACCU
rnacentral:misc_RNA from 1 species